UUGGCUUCAAUGAAUGUGCGCAAAUCUUCGAAUUCUGUAGAUUCAUGGUGCCGAGGUAUUACAAGGAGAACAUGCAUGCACAUCAGCGCUUGAAGUACAUACUCAAUGCCUUCAUCUAGUCACCCCCAAGAAGGGGACGACAGAGAGAAUAGUUUGUAAAGGAGUGUUGUUAGUGAUUUCUGUAUUAGUUUCUGCUGUGGAGAAAGCAAAUGGCUAUCUUCAGAACCAGUAGAGUGCUAGGGGUAUCUACAUACUUUCACAAGCU
rnacentral:rRNA from 1 species